CUACUUCCUGCUUUCUCCUUUACUGUUGUUGGUGCUUCACUGUUCGCACGCCUUCUCCUCUAUAGAACGGCUCCCCCUCGCACGUACUUCAUCUGCCUCCGGCCAACAGCCACGUUGCCUUCUCUCCUAGUGUGCGCGCAAGGCAAACCAAGCAUCGCCUGCUUCAUCACGCACACACACACAAAAAAAAAAACGGAGGAGUGGCACAAACAAAAAACCAACACAGCCAAAAAAAACGAGACAUAGUUUGUUUCCUUUGCUGUGGUUCUGUCUGUCUGACGGGCAUACACGCCACCUUUUCCUCCCUCUUCCUCCCCCCUCCUUGCUCCACACGCCCCCACCCUUUCUCUCUCUUCUGAUAGACGCCUUUCUCGCCGCAGUGGGGCGGUGGCAGGCCGAGUCAAGAUACGGGCAUACAAGAAGGGCUUGAGCUGAGGCGCUGGAGGUGUGCAUACGAAUUUCCAAGGGAAAGGGCAGCCUUAAGAGACUGCCCCCUUCAUUGAGCAUCACCAUCUCAGUGAACAGACGAUUUUGAUCGCCCCCUCCUCGAUAGCUCGCUCGCUCUCUGUGUAACUCAGCACCUAUCUUCUCUGUCCCGGUCUUGUUAGCCCUCCACUUUGCGCGAUCCUUUCUUGCAAGAAAAUGUUUAGGAUGCCUGCAGUCAAGAAGCCUCUCUCGAGCCACCGGCCGAGCGAGGCGCGCAAGUCCAUUGAAGACCCUGCGCCAAGCCCUUACGUACCCGCCACGCCGGCGAGCGUCAAGAGUGUGACCUUUGAUUGGACUCAGGCCUGCCCCAUCUACACCAUCAAGGGCAACAGCGUUUGGCACAAGGGCGGUGGGGAGCUGCCGUACCGCCCUGUCAUUGGCGAUCUCGCGAUGCGGCCAAACACAGGCAAAUAUUUCUUCUCCUACCGCAUCAACACCGACAACAGCCGUGUCGGCUUCUGCACCAGCUGCGUUUACGUCAGCGAUGAAGAUCUGCAGAACAUAGAGUUCGGCAAGGCUGUUGCGAUGGACUCGGAGACGAGUGAGUCGCUGCUGGACCAAAACCCGGCGCAGCCGAGCUUUCUGCAGGCCAUUGGCGCCGUUCCUACGCUACCUAGCAAGCGUUGGGAGGCCUACAUGGAUCUACAAACCUCGAAGGUGUUCGUGAACGGUGUGGAGAAGCACAGUUUCUGGCGUCUUUUCGUGCCCAUCAGUGGCGGCGUUGCCUCCUUCGUAGUGGACACCGACGCCGGUGCAGUGCAAAUGUUUAUGGACCGCAAGUACGUGGGCAUGAUGCUGGAUGAGCAGAGUGGGUUGAAGGGCAACACUGUAUACCCCUGUGUGGGCAUCUCCGGGUGUGACAUGGCCAAUCGCAGCAUCCAGAGUGGGUGCAUGGGUGCCUUUGUCGAGCCAGCCCACGCGUUCGACUGUCUCUACUAGUCACGGGUGGGCUCUGCUCAACCUAGUGGAUGCUAUUUUGUUUGCUCGCUUUUCCUUUGCUCUUUUCUUAUGGUCGUUAUUCUUGCCGUUGCCAUCCCUACUAACCCCCCCACCGCAUCAGUCUCCACGCUUGCUCUCUCCGAGCGUGCAGGAUGGCGUAUCUGUAUGCGUGCGUGUGCCAGAUCGAGAGGAAGAAGGCACCGGGCCUGUGUAUCACAUCGGUAGUCGGGGUUAAAUGCGUGUAUGUAUUUGUACCUCGGUGGCCAUCUUUGAGUGUACCUCAUCGUAGUCCCCAAGAGACAUGGCUCGUUGUGCGGGUGCGUUUCCUUUCAUUUUUAUUUCCCCUCUCCCCCUCUUCCUUCCCCACGUCUUGAGUGCCGCCUCGGGUUGCCUGGAUAGUGGACGUGUGCACAGCAGUCCCCCUCCCCCUCCCCCAAUCCCAUCUUUACUCAAGAUACCGUGCACCCCUUUUGCUAUCUUAUUUUUGUCUAGUGGCAUGACCAUGUAUAUAUGCUUAUGUACACUUUCGCUUGGCUGUGCGUAAACCGUGUGCGACGUUUUUUCUCGUUCUUUUUCCCGCUUGUAUGUGUGUCCGCGUAUGCCUUGCCUUGGUCUAAUUGCUUGUUCUCGCGGUUCGUUUUCUUCUUUGUCUUCACACACCGUGAAGGUGAGAGCGAUACAACCGCCUUCGCUUGGCUUCCGCAACGCUCCUCCGGCCCACCAACGGACACACACACACACACACGUCCCCCUCCUCCCUCCCCAUCAUCAUCAUCGCUCUCCUCUCACGAAUGUAAUCGUUUUUUUUUUUCACUUAGCUGUCAGGGAGCGCGUGAUUUGAUGUACAGGUAUUGCCCUCUCCUACGCCCCAUAUCCCCCUCCUCCCUGCCUUUACGUCUUCUGUGUCUUUGCGUUUCUUUUCCUGUGUGUGUGUGUUCUUAUUUUGUUGCCAUUCUCGUUCGGAUUGACGUAUCUCUCGGCUCUCUUCUUGUUUUCCGUCUCUUGCUCUGCCUUUAUGUAUGCUUUCAUGGUUUGCAUUGAUGGGCCAUGUGAGGCUACCGCCAGUUUUGGACGACGUGCAUGUGAACGGCUCUUUAUAGGUCUCUGCAUGCGCGCAUGUGCCUCCUUUAUCCCCUUCCCUUUGUGUGUGUGUGUGUGUCUUGCGCUUACGAGGCUCCGUCGUUUUUCAUGUGUCUCUCUUGUCGUGUAUGCGUGCUUGUGUGCGUGGGUGUGGGAACGGAGAGAGGGUGGGCGGGUAUCGUUACGACUGUUGUUUGCUUUGUGCCGUUCUUUCUUCGGAUGUGUGCAUGUGAGUUUGUCUGCUUUCUCCCAUGGUUUGUUUUCCCGUGUUUCUCUGCCUACUUCCGUGCUGCUCGUCUGGCGGUGUUUUAUUUGUGGAUGUUUGUCUUUGUAUCGUUGGUCUUGCCCCAAUACACAUGUAUGCUCAGUUGAUACUCUUGGGGCGCGCGCUCCUCCUUUUUUUGUCCCAUUCCGCGCGCGCGCACACACGUUAUUGGAACGCAGGCACUUUCAACGAUGACUCGCUCUCUCUCUCUGUUCCUCGUUUGAUUCGAUCCCUCUUCCAAAUGUUUCGGUAUCUGCACUACAUGCUGGGCUAGCCCACCACUCGGUGCGAAACGAACUUCAGAAAAAAAAACACGAAGACAAAUUUUAAGCAAGCGUGCAAUAUAAGGGACAGUGACCGACACUGUAUUCGAUUGCGCGUGCGGUGGCACGAGCACGUUUGCCUGCUGAGUCGCCGUCGCUCCUACUCUCUCGCUUGCAGUCUUGUUGACUGCACUGCACGCCCACACAGCAUCGCAGCACUUUGAAUCUGGUGCACAUGCUACAAGAAUGCUCCAGAAAAGGCCCUGGCUCCCCCCACCCACCCACCCUUGCUCAUGGCGAAACGGCGGAGACCUACAUCUCCGCUCAAGUCCCUCUCAAGCCUACAAGCUGUCAUGCAGCCGUUCUCCGCAUGCACCCGUUGUCUACGUGUCCUCUUCCUUUUGCCUCCUCUCCUUGUGUCUAUUUCCUGUCUCUCUCCCUCGCUCCGUAG
rnacentral:misc_RNA from 1 species